GGUGAGAUGGCCGAGUGGUUAUGGCGCUGCGUUCAGGUGAACCUGGAUCUUCUAUCUUGUGUAGAAUAUUCGCAGUGGAGCAAUCCGCGUGGGUUCGAGUCCCACUCUCAUCA